UACGUAGGGCGCAAGCGUUGUCCGGAAUUAUUGGGCGUAAGGAGCUCGUAGGCGGCUUGUCACGUCGGGUGUGAAAGCCCGGGGCUUAACCCCGGGUCUGCAUUCGAUACGGGCAGGCUAGAGUGUGGUAGGGGAGAUCGGAAUUCCUGGUGUAGCGGUGAAAUGCGCAGAUAUCAGGAGGAACACCGGUGGCGAAGGCGGAUCUCUGGGCCAUUACUGACGCUGAGGAGCGAAAGCGUGGGGAGCGAACAGG
rnacentral:rRNA from 1 species